rnacentral:rRNA from 1 species
GACGAACCGUGCGAACGUUGUUCGGAAUCACUGGGCAUAAAGCGCGCGUAGGCGGCUUUGCAAGUCGGGUGUGAAAUCCCCAGGCUUAACCUGGGAACUGCAUUCGAGACUGCAUUGCUAGAGUAUGGGAGAGGGAAGUGGAAUUUCCGGUGUAGCGGUGAAAUGCGUAGAUAUCGGAAGGAACAUCAGUGGCGAAAGCGACUUCCUGGACCAAUACUGACGCUCAUGUGCGAAAGCGUGGGGAGCAAACAGG